rnacentral:lncRNA from 1 species
CAAGAACCUGCUUGUGUAGGAGCCAGAGGGGGGGGAGAGAAGGAGCAGUUACAUUUCUACCCACACCCUGCUUGAAGAAUUCAACGGUGCUCUUCAUUCUGGGCUUCCUAAUUGUGCUGCUGACAACCCUGGCUAUUGUGCUGCAGCCCAGUGUCCCUGUCCUUAGUCCCCUGAGGAGCUGGAAGCCACGAUGGAGGAGCCUGGGUGAGCCACACAUCCCACCAGAGUAUGUCCUCCUUAAAGAAAGGUGAGCUGCCUUAACAUGGUGGAUAAUCAGGAGCUUGGACCUCGAUAGUAUAGUCAUA